CCAGGUGUUUGGUGUUUUAUUGAGAUCACAGGCCCUUUACAGCCACCGCUUUUACAGUGACUGUACAGGUGUGACUGAUCACUCCACGCAUGAAAAGAGACAGCAGUUAAACAAGAGCUGCUCUGCGUCGUCCUGACCUGGAAAACAUGCUUAUAACAUCAGCGUUCUGCAGAGCUUUUGUGCCUCCACGUAGACAACACUUUUAAGGAUUCAGACAGUUGCUGGCAUCUGACAAGACUCCACAUGAUGCCGUUCCCUUUGAAGCUUGAUUAAAGUCAUCACCUUGUCAAGAGCUGUAUUAUGUAUUACGACCAGGGAAAAGGCACUGUGGAUAUUUGUUACACCUCGGACCAACAAUAAUGGGCUUUACUGUACAGAGCCCGUCUGCUGUACUCACUUCCCUCUGCUCUGGUCUCAGGAGCCCUGUCUCGAGAUGGGUAAGGGGUUCCCAUGUGUCCUGCCACUUAGCUGAUUGAGGCCUGGUAAAGGCAAGUUGCCAUGGAGGAGACUCCCACAUAUGGGAUGCUACUUUUAGUGUCCCUCUUUUGGGAACACUGAGUGGGGAGCCGUCAGUCAGAUCGUCUGUUGCUGGAACCAACCAAGAUGAGUCAGCCAGGAGACAGUAGUGAGCUCAUCCACAGCAGCAGGAUGAAGAGACAGCAAUGAAAACAGAGACAUCUGCAAGCAAAUAUGUUUUUAAAAAUAAAGGAGGAUGUGAACCAUA